UAUCAUUGCAGACCUCUCGGGGUCUCCCCACAGAGCUCAGGAGUGCCCGGUUCCACCUGCUCCUGGAUUUUUUUAGCCCCCAGCUGCCCGGCCCUAGAGCAGGUGCUUGGGGAUGGGAUUUAUCCACAUGCCAGUAUCGUGGGAGCGGCUCGCAGCGGUGGGAUCCUGUGGGGUUUUGGUUGUACCUUUCAGCCAGGUGGUUCCUUCCCCACCCCUCUCCAUGUCUUUCAGGCAUAGGAAUAAGAUACGCAGUUCUCUCAAUAUUUGUCCCUCUCAAGGAUUUCUCAAGCUCUCCAAGGGAGGGAGAGGUAAAGCUCUGGAGUGGAGAAUCCCAGAGGAGAAGUGUCACUCGUGUCCAUGGGUUUUCCCAUCUCUCUGCUCGAAGAGCCAGGAGGGGAGUGCUCACCUGCAGGGAUGCACACUGCCAGGUGCAGAUGGAAUGGGAGCCUCUUUGGAUUUCCAGCAGCACUCUGCAUUCCCAACCUGCUUGUUUCUCCCAGAGCCUGGAGAAACCUCAGGAUGGGCAGCUCGGAGGGACUCCACGUCCACCUCACCUACUGCUUGUGUGUUCGGUUGGGAAAUCUUGGCUCUCCCUGCCUUCUCCCUUCCCCUCCCCACUGGAAUUCGCCUUUUGGAAUCAAAAAUCCUACCGGCUAUUUUUAAAGUGCUGUCGGAGCCCACUCAGCUCCUGCUCCCAGUGACAGAUCCGGCUGUCAGAAUCUUCAGCUGUUUUUUGCUCCCUCUGCUCCAAGCCCGAGUGGCAACAGCCGGGAUUCCCUCCUCAUUCACACCCGGAGCCAGACCCGGGCCGGGGACCAGGAUUUUCCUCUGGAGGGUCCAGGGGGAUUUGGUGCCCAUCCCGUCCGUGGCGUUUGCCAGGGGGAAAGGACGGAGCAAAGGUGGCCAGGAACGAGGAGCCACAGGGGCUUCCACUCCCUGAGCCCUGCACGGGCUUCUGGAACCUCAGAUUUUUAUCUGGCUGCGAGGCCAUGGAGGGGCCCAGGGAGGUUGGAAUUCUCCUGGGUGAUCCCACGGGUCUCUCUGGCUGUCACUUGGGCCAGAGCUUGUGACAAGGACACCCAUGUGUCCCGCAGGGAAGGAGCUCCCAGCUCUAGGAGCCAGACCGUUUCCUGAGGAGGCUGACACAGGGCAGCCGCCGAAUGAAGCUGGGAGCUGCUGGCGG